rnacentral:rRNA from 1 species
UGCAGUCGAACGGACAGGCCCUGCUUUUGUGGGGUGCUCGAGUGGCGAACGGGUGAGUAACACGUGAGUAACCUGCCCUUGACUUUGGGAUAACUUCAGGAAACUGGGGCUAAUACCGGAUAGGAGCUCCUGCUGCAUGGUGGGGGUUGGAAAGUUUCGGCGGUUGGGGAUGGGCUCGCGGCUUAUCAGCUUGUUGGUGGGGUAGUGGCUUACCAAGGCUUUGACGGGUAGCCGGCCUGAGAGGGUGACCGGCCACAUUGGGACUGAGAUACGGCCCCACUCCUACGGGAAGCAGCAGUGGGGAAUAUUGCACUUUGGGCGGAAGCCUGAUGCACCAACGCCGCGUGCGGGAUGACGGCCUUCGGGUUGUAAACCGCUUUCCCCUGUGACGAAGCGUGAGUGACGGUAAUGGGUAAAGAAUCACCGGCUAACUACGUGCCAGCAGCCGCGGUGAACGUACGGUACAAGCGUUGUCCGGAUUUAUUGGGCGUAAAGGGCUCGUAGGUGGUUGAUCGCGUCGGAAGUGUAAUCUUGGGGCUUAACCCUGAGCGUGCUUUCGAUACGGGUUGACUUGAGGAAGGUAGGGGAGAAUGGAAUUCCUGGUGGAGCGGUGGAAUGCGCAGAUAUCAGGAGGAACACCAGUGGCGAAGGCGGUUCUCUGGGCCUUUCCUGACGCUGAGGAGCGAAAGCGUGGGGAGCGAACAGGCUUAGAUACCCUGGUAGUCCACGCUGUAAACGGUGGGUACUAGGUGUGGGGUCCAUUCCACGGGUUCCGUGCCGUAGCUAACGCUUUAAGUACCCCGCCUGGGGAGUACGGCCGCAAGGCUAAAACUCAAAGGAAUUGACGGGGCCCCGCACAAGCGGCGGAGCAUGCGGAUUAAUUCGAUGCAACGCGUAGAACCUUACCUGGGUUUGACAUGGAUCGGGAGCGCUCAGAGAUGGGUGUGCCUCUUU